AACGAACGCUGGCGGCAUGCCUAACACAUGCAAGUCGAACGAACCCUUCGGGGUUAGUGGCGCACGGGUGCGUAACGCGUGGGAAUCUGCCCUUUGCUUCGGAAUAACUCAGGGAAACUUGUGCUAAUACCGGAUGAUGUCUUCGGACCAAAGAUUUAUCGCCCAAGGAUGAGCCCGCGUAGGAUUAGGUAGUUGGUGGGGUAAUGGCCCACCAAGCCGACGAUCCUUAGCUGGUCUGAGAGGAUGAUCAGCCACACUGGGACUGAGACACGGCCCAGACUCCCACGGGAGGCAGCAGUGGGGAAUAUUGGACAAUGGGCGAAAGCCUGAUCCAGCAAUGCCGCGUGAGUGAUGAAGGCCUUCGGGUUGUAAAGCUCUUUUACCAGGGAUGAUAAUGACAGUACCUGGAGAAUAAGCUCCGGCUAACUCCGUGCCAGCCGCCGCAGUAACAC
rnacentral:rRNA from 1 species